AAUAUGGUUCAAAUGCAAACACGAUGAUUCAUCCACCAUUGUUGUCCACAACCACCACCACCUCCACCUCCAAAACAUCAGCUUCUUCCCACUCUAUUCCGAAUAUUUGUCGUAAUUACACUUCUCAAAUACAAUGGAGGUCUAUGGAGCUUCUGCUUUGGCUUCGAUUAGCUCAAUUUCUCCAUCUCUUCACUCUUCUCAUCAACCUACUUCGGUACCGUCUCCUUAUUUAUCGCGAUUUGUGUUUUACGUUGUUGAAAUUGAUGUUUUUGGGUUAAUUUGUUUGUUUUUCARGUGUGUGGAUUYAGAAGAKUUAGGGUUUGGUGUGUUAAAACCGACGUCAAUGGCUCUUCUCAAUCUCUUAAGCAAAUUAGAGGAGGUUGUGAAGAACAAGAACAAGUCUCUUCAACCAUACGAGUAAAGGUUUAGGUCAAGCAUGGGAACAAUACUACUGAUAUACUUCACUCUCUCCAUGGCCAGGCACAAUGAAGACGACAAUUUUCUCGAUGCAUAGUGAAUAAGGAAAAACAACUCCGUAAAACUACAAUACACAAGUUGCGAAUCUAACAUACCUUGCUUUAAUGGUGUUUGCAUGCUCUGCAAAUUUCUCCUUUAUUUUUCCUU